rnacentral:rRNA from 1 species
UACGAAGGGAGCUAGCGUUGUUCGGAAUCACUGGGCGUAAAGCGCACGUAGGCGGAUGUAUCAGUCAGGGGGUGAAAUCCCGGAGCUCAACUUCGGAACUGCCUUUGAUACAGCACGUCUUGAGUCCGAUAGAGGUGGGUGGAAUUCCUAGUGUAGAGGUGAAAUUCGUAGAUAUUAGGAAGAACACCGGUGGCGAAGGCGGCCCACUGGAUCGGUACUGACGCUGAGGUGCGAAAGCGUGGGGAGCAAACAGG